GGAAGGGGUGUAUUUAUUAGAUAAAAAACCAAUGCCCUUCGGGGCUCUUUGGUGAUUCAUGAUAACUUUACGGAUCGCAUAGCCUUGCGCUGGCGACGGUUCAUUCAAAUUUCUGCCCUAUCAACUUUCGAUGGUAAGGUAUUGGCUUACCAUGGUUUCAACGGGUAACGGGGAAUUAGGGUUCGAUUCCGGAGAGGGAGCCUGAGAAACGGCUACCACAUCCAAGGAAGGCAGCAGGCGCGCAAAUUACCCAAUCCCGACACGGGGAGGUAGUGACAAUAAAUACUGAUACAGGGCUCUUUUGGGUCUUGUAAUUGGAAUGAGUACAAUUUAAACCUCUUAACGAGGAACAAUUGGAGGGCAAGUCUGGUGCUAGCAGCCGCGGUAAUUCCAGCUCCAAUAGCGUAUAUUAAAGUUGUUGCAGUUAAAAAGCUCGUAGUUGAAACUUGGGCCUGGCUGGCGGGUCCGCCUCACCGCGUGCACUCGUCCGGCCGGGCCUUCCUUCUGAAGAACCUCAUGCCCUUCACUGGGCGUGUUGGGGAACCAGGACUUUUA
rnacentral:rRNA from 1 species